UUUAGGCUCAAAACUUUUGGUAGACGAUAACAUAGAUUUGAUGACUCCAUCUACGUCAUGAAUUCCAGUUGUCCCCAUACUAUCUGUUGAAGAGAUGAGUCUUUCCCCAUGGAAUGGACUUGGCAUCCUUUUUAAAAUCAAUGGGCUGGGGCUCCCUAGGUGGUGCAGUGGUUGAGAAUCCGCCUUCCAAUGCAGGGAACACGGGUUCGAUCCCUGCUCCAGGAAGAUCCCACAUGCCAUGGAGCACCUAAGCCUGUGUGCCACAACUAUUGAGCCCAUGUGCUGCAACUGCUGAAGCCCACGUACCUAGAGCCUGAGCUCUGCUACAAGAGAAGCCACAGCAAUGAGGAGCCUGCUCACCACAACGAAGAGUAGCCCCCACUCACCGCAACUAAAGAAAGCCCGCGCACAGCAAAAAAAAAAAAAAAAAAAAUCAAUGGGCCAUAUAUGUUGGGUUUAUUUCUGUACUCUCAGUUCUGUUCCGUUGGUCUGUAUGCUACCUUUAUGCCAGUACCACAUUGUUUUGAUUACUCUAAGUUUGUAGUAAGUUUUGAAAUCCAGAAAUGUGAUUUCUCCAGCUCUGUUCUUCUUUUUCAGGAUAUUUUGGCUAUUUGGGGCCCCUUACAGCUCCAUAUAAAUUUGAGGAUUGGCUUUUCCAUUGCUGCAAAAAAGACUGUUAGAAUUUGAUAGGGGUUGUAUUGAAUCUGUAGAUCUCUUUGGUUAGUAUUGACUUUGAAACCAAGGGUAAUCAUCAGUUAGAUCCAUUAAACUUGUAACCUGCCUUCAGUAAUCAAGCUCGCUUUAACUCUUCCUAUAAAAAAAAUUCCAUGCCCUCCAAGUGUCCUGCAACCUAAACAAUAAGAUGUUUGCCCAAGUUGUUUUUCAGGAACUUGGAGUCAGCUAUGGCCAGUUGGAGCUGGUUAAGACCACCAGCAGGUGUCCACUUGAUGAACUUUUGAUGUCAGAGGGCCAAAAAUUCUGCCUCCAGAACAUGCUAACACUGCCUUUUUCUGAAUGUGUCCCAUGAAGAAGCCUGUAGCUUAGUUGCACCUGUGCAGAAUGACGAUUAUCUCACCUUCUUAUUUCCAGUCACCUUUCCCCAUGCUCCCCAUGCCUCAACUUUAUCCCAUAAAUAUCCCCAGCCCCUUGGCUUCAGAGCGGUGGACUUGAGAUUUGUUCUCCCAUCUCCUCACUUGGCUGCCCUGUGAAUAAACACUUUCUCUACUGCAAACCUCUGAAUCUCUGCAUUUGGCUUGCUGCUUGUCAACAAACGAACAUGGUUUGGUUCAGUAACAACAUCUUAACAAUAUAAGGCUUCCAGUCCAUGCACAGGUGAUGUCUUUCCAUUUAAUUGUCUUCUUUAAUUUCUUUCAGCAAUGUUUUUAGUUUUCAGCAUACUAGUCUUUUACCUCGGUUAAAUUAUUCUUAGAUUUUGG